GUGACCCUGGUGCAAUGUGGAGAAGGGAAGGGAGCUGGGGAAGGGUCUGGAGCACCAGGAGCAAAUGGGGGAGCUGGAGGGGGCUCAGCCUGAAGAAAAAGAGGCUUGGGGGGACCUUCUUGCUCUUCACAACUCUCUG